GCACUAUUUUGUAAAUAGUAAUUUCUUUAAUAUAGCAUAUUGGGAUUACACUUUGGAAGGCUUAACUAUUGGCAUUCUUUUUCCAUUUCUACCAUAUGUAAAAGGCAAAGCUGUGGUUAACGUUUUGUUCUCUAUCACUAUGGCCAUUCUCCAAAGAUUCCUGCUUUUGAUUUCUUACAGAAACUUAUUUCAUUGCUUUGUAACAUCAAUCUCAUCCUUUUCACUCUUCACUGCCUGGUCUCGAAUUCAGCCUUCCAAGAUAACAAUUAAGCCUAAUAAAUAAGUGACUGGUACUAUAUAAAUCCCCAGGGUUUUUCUAUUCCCUAGUAUAUAGAUGCUGGCCAUUCCAUGCCUUCCCACAACUCCAUUUUAGAAAUUUUGCCUCACACAUAGUCCAGAAGGGGCAAACUUAUUACCAUAUGAUUCUGACUCCUGACCAGAGCUGACUCAAAAGGAGUGGGGGCUUGAGCUAAGCCAAUGAGAAUGGAGGCAACGAUGAGUAUCGAAACAAUUAGUCUUGCAGAGCUAAGGUGGGAAUCUGUAUCCUGGGGAACCGGAACCACCUACCUGUCAAUGAUUCAGGAAAGAAGAAACAAUGGUUUUGAAGAGAAAGUUAUAAAACUAGAGGCCAGAGCAGAGACGCAGAAUUGAGGGAAGCCAAGUGGCUUCGAGAGAUGGAGAGCAAUCUUGGUGCCCAUCUUCCGUUCUAACUCCCAGCCCUGCCUGAACUGGGCUGUGCUUCAGUUUCAUUCCCUGGAACUGUGAGAUCCCUCUUUAUUCAAACUACCUUGAGUAAAUUUACGUUUCUAAAUGUGCUCUGAUGAAGACAUUUCCCUUUGUUUAGCUCACCAUGUUUCUCUCCCAACCCAAUCUCUUCAUGCUACUCAACUGUGAUCCUUUCUCUGGGAUUCACAACCAUCUUAUUUCUUCUGUUGCCCUGUAAUUUGUCUCUAAAGCCCCGUUUCUUGUCACACUUAGAAAUAUUGGCAAUGCUAGAAAACUAAAAUGAAAGCAGAGAAAAAUGAUCAUGUUAUUUUAGUCAGAGUUGAACUGAAAUGUGUUUAAAUUUUUGAAUUAGAAAAAAAAAGACAAUCAAAGCCCACCACUUAUUCAAUAUAGGUUAGUAAACCCCAUCUUUUUGUUUCUUUUUGCUUCUAGUAUUUAUCCCAGGUUUUUCGUAAACACAUUGUUUUCUUCUCAACCUGUAAAACUUAAGAUGUGUUUCCUACAAAACAAGAUAGUGAAGAGCUGUGCAGUUUUCAAUUGGGAUUGAUUUUUCACUAGUGUUUAAAAUCACACUGGCUUUGGACAGGACUUUGCCUUAAGAAAGGAGUAGAUUUCAUACCAAAACUAAAUGGUCAGUAUCUUAGAAUAGGAUUUUCUCCUGGAUAAACAACUGGCCUCCAAGAAAUAUGAUUCAAAUAACCCAAUAUGUUGAUAUUCACUAAAGUAAUUAUAAAUAUUAACUUUAUGGAAACUUUGGUUCUUUUGAUCAAAUAUAUACUUAUUCUAAUUAUUGUCAAUAUUUUAAAAAUCUGAUAUUUUAGUAGUUUUUGUGGCCUAGCAAACAUUAAGAGAUAACUUAAAAAAAUACCUAAAUCUUCUGUCUUAGCACUUAAGAAUGACUAAUACUACUCAAUAAAAACUCUACAUGUAGCCAAAUUACAGUAACUACGUUCACAAAAAGGACAGAUUUUGAAUCCAUUUAUCAGAUUCUCUUCAAGUAUUUCAAAGAUGUUAAGUAAUUAUACCAUUAAUUAUUCUAUUAAGGCCAUUUGGUGAAGAAUAUAGGAACAAAUGACUUCUGGGAAAAGCUACUGAUAAGACAUUUACAAGGUACACACUUUCACUAAGUAGGCAGUACUCAUUCCAUGGCUUUCAUUGGCCAAGAAUUCUAUGUGCAACACCUACAUUUAUGAGAAGAAGGUACCUUAGAAAUUCUGAAUUCAGAUUUCAGCAGUGUCAUAGACCUUAUGUGUAGUCCAAGUUAUUUUUCUCUUUGUAUUCUCUUUACUCUUCUAUCCAAUGAGUAAAACUAAAAUCUAUUUCUCUCACAUGUUAGAAGGUGCUUUGACAAUAAGAAACAUGAAAUAAAUGCUAAAUAUUUCAUUGAAUUGUAAAAGUGGGGGAAGAUGUGUAACCAUGGGACAAGUUUAAACUGACCCCAUCUUAUCAACAGAAUGUAAAGAGUUGUUUUUCAGCGACAGUGAGCCAAAAAGGGCAAGUCAUGUAGCAGGGCACAUGUAGAGGAGAAAAUCUUGACCUGAAAUAACACCUGGAACCAAAGAUUCCCCCCUUCCACCUAACAGAACCAAAGGACGAGGACAUGACUGGCUAUUGAAAGCUGGACUCUUAUCAGAAGUGAGGUCUACUGCCUAGGAAGCUCCACUGUUAAAACCCCUUCCACACCUUACCGUAAAUGUUUAGAGCCCUCCAACGGACACCUGCCUGGCCGGCGCUUCCGCGUAUCAGCCUGUUCCCCCAACCUCUUAAAUUUUGCCCCAAACCCUGGAUCAAGGAGACUGACUUGAGAGCCUUGCCUCCUGUCACCUCGCUGGUCGACCUCACAAUAAAGCCUUUUCUUUUCUCAAAAGCCAGUGGCAUAAUAAUUGGCUUUUGUGUGCAUUGGACAGAGAACCCUCUUUUUGUGCAGUAACAGAUGUGAUUUACUAUUGUUUGCAUGCUAAAAAAAAUGUUUGCAUUGUUCCUGUGUGAAGCAGAACUGAUACACUGAAAGAAUUUAGGUGGGAUUAAAACCAAAGAGACACAGCGAGGCAUUCCUUAAGGAGGUAGCUACUUGCAGUUUAUUGUGUAUAAACAGUUGUUAUGUGAUCUAUUGAACUACUUUUACGCAUUUUCUCUGCAUAGUCCUUGACUGUGAGGUUGAGAAAUCAGACCACUGUUUGAGUGUCACUAGGAAAAGUGGCUGGAAUUUAACUCCAGAGGAUCCUCUGAGAAUAGUUGGUAAUAGAUCCACGUUGAAAUGAGCUUUAUGAAUGAGACUGAUGAAGUGCAUGACACCAGUAUAUCUAAAAUAACUAUCCCACUCUUAAGAACAUGUAUCUGAAGAACUAGCGCUGUACAUACCAAAGAGACAGAAAGAGUUGGAGCCUCUCCCCGUUCAUUUGUAUUCAUUGCCAAAAUCUGGUUAUCAUUGUAAAGCAUUCCCUUAGUCCAAAGAAAAGAGAUGUUAUCAUUGCCCCUGUUCCAUUCUGUUUAUAAGCACAUCAUUCUGGAUUACAUCUCCAUUUACCAUCAUACAAUCUACAGUCCUUCUGGUACUCUGUACUUAAGGAGAAUACUUUAUUCAUUUAUAUGAGAUUUAAAAAGUGUUUAAUGUACAUUAUUGUAUGGAUGCAUUUUGUAUUUUUUUUUCUGGUAAGUGCUGGUGGCUAGAGGGCAGAGGUGGGCACCCUGAACCAUAACGGGAACUGCUCACCCAUAGUAGUCAUUUAGUAAACAAAGAUGAUGGAAGCUGAAUUGUGCUGAUUACAAAGAUGCCGUGGGAAAGAAAUUUCUAGAGUGGAUUCCUGACCAAGAAUAUCUAUUUUUUGUUUAUUUUUUAUUUGUUAUUUGUUUUAAAAUAAUUAAAAUGGCUAUACUUGUCAGCAACAAAGUCCUAUUAACCACCGCCUUUUUCAUAUGAAGGAGAGAAAAUGCAUUUGCUUUGCCUGUUUAAAUCGAGAGCUGUGAGCUUGCCAAAGGACAAGACUGGAAUUCCCCUGAAGCAAUAAAUAUUGCUGUGGAUUAAAGAAAGAAACAUUUCUUUUCUCAAAGUGCGCUCUUUAUAAAUAGGAAGCAGAUGCAGUAACAGGAGAGUGAGAUGUUGCCCUUUCUGAGAGGAGGAGCUCAGUUGGAAGCUGCAUGACAUCAGAAUCUAGAGAUUAAGGCAAUGAAGGGUCAAUGUGGUCAGAGAUUGUUUUUUAACAAGACAUAUUCACACUAGUCGGUAGGCUCCACUCUGUUUGCAUGAUAAACAUCUAAAAAGAAUGUUUGUGUUCCCAAUAGAAGUCAUAUUGUCUUCCUGUGAGUUACAGAAGAGAACUCAUUGCCGGUCACCUUUGUUCAGACACUUCAGUUUGUUCCCAGGCUCUGACAAGGAAUGCUUUAAAAUGGCUGUGAACUGAAAGAACUUUCUGGUAACCAACAUGCAAACGAGCACCCCAAACAUUCCUCACUGCUGCAGAGUUCAGUGUGGGUUGCUUGGAGUGCUCAUUUGCAUGUCAAUCCCUGUGGUCUUCUGCUCACUGCUAUUUUUCUUCAUUGCUAGGUUUUAGUUCAAGGAGUCAGUUGGUGACUUUGGAGAACAUUGUGAUAGCACUGGUGUCUCCUCUCCACCUUUUGGUAACUUGUCUCACUAUCUUUUUACUCGAUCGUAGGUGUACUUCCUGAUAAGCACCAUAGCCUUUUAGUAGUCUUGAGAAAAUUGUUCUAGUGUUUCCUCCCCUUUAUUUUACUGUCCAUCAAUUUUUCAAAGUGAUUGCAUAGCUCUGGGUUAUUUCAAAUAGAUGUGAACCAUGCUUCUUGUCAUAUCUCCAGUGAUUGAAUAGCCCCCAAUCAGACGGUUAAAAAUGAGGGACUAAUUGAAGACUGCUCCUGCUCCUAGUAUUAUUUGUUAUUUAUACUCAUUAUUCUUCUAGAAAAGAUUCGAAGGGCUUGUUUCAUUCACGUAUGGGUAAUCUAGUAUAUCAACUGGCCUUAUUUGAAGUGGUCUCUGGCAUGUGUUUUCAUUGUAACUUUUGCAAUUGUUUCGACCAAAUGUUUGUUUCACACCCCAUGAUACUGUGAUACGAUAAAAGAUAUAUAUUUGGUCUUGUCCCUGGUUCCUGGCACAGAGUUCAAAACCCUUGUAAUUUCCUGACAGAUAAGGCUGAGAGGAGCAUCUUAUGUUACUCAUAAUAAGCCCCUUUCAACUAUACCUGAGUUUAUGCUAGUGAGGUGACUCUGGGAGUGUGGGGGCUGGUUGCCAGAGGAACCAACUAUGUAAUUAGAGGGUUGGAACUUUUGGCUCCACCCAACAACCUCUUGAAAGGGGAGAGGGGCUGGAGAUGGAUUAAAUCACCAAUGGCCAAUGAUUUGAUCAGGUAUGCCUAUGUAAUGAAGGCUCCAUAAAAUCUCUUAACAACAGGGUUUGUGGAGCCCCAGGUUGGUGAAAGCAUCUAUGGGACUGCAAGGUGAUGCACCCAAACUCCAUGGGACACAAGUGCCUGCGCUCAGGAUCCUUCUGGACAUCACCUCAGGCUCGCCAUCCUCCCCAGCUUCACUUCUCCAUCUGUCAGCAACACUCAGCUUCACUCACUCCUCCAGAUUCUCUUAUGUUGUCCAAAAACAAUCACUUAUCUGAGCCAAGGCAUGCAUUGAUUCUGCGAGGGAGGAGUGCCCAACCUGCUCAGAGAGAUGGGUGAAGUUCCCACACUUUGUCGGCCAGUGACUUCACUCUCCCCCUCUCACUGGAAACGGUGGCCUGCAUUCUCCCCCGCCUUGCGGCCUUUGGUAAGCAUCUUCAUCCAGAAAGGAAUACAGUUCCCUAACUGCUUGUUUAGUAUUCUAUCCCCAGCUUAGAAAAUGCUUUUAUUGUGUUAAAUAUACACCUCCCAUGAUAAACAUUAACUGAGUGAUUAAGUGAAUAUAUGGACUAAAACAUAACCCUUUUGGGGGGGGGGAUUAGAUAAAACAAGAAUGGUUGUGUAUGAUUUUCCUCAUUCCAAAUGUACAUGUUCUCUUAUUCCUUUUCCAGGCUCCAAGAGACUUGACACGAUUUCUGUGUUUGUUUUUGUUUCUUUUUUUAAAGCAUGUGUUUGCCAUACCACAGUCACACGUUGCUUGACGAUGGGGUUAUGUUCUGAGAAACGCAUUCUUUGGCGAUUUCAUCACUGUGCGCACCUCAUAGAGUGCACUUACACAAACCUAGGUGGUAUAGCCUACUACACAGCUAGGCUAUAAGGUGCUCAGGUACUUAUUAGUAGGUGAGGUGCUAAUCUUACGGGACCACCGUCCUAUAUGUGGUUCCUCGUUGACGGACCUGUGGUUGUGUGGUGCACAACUAUUUCACUGUUAUUUCACUGUUAACUGACUGGAUUGCACUGUUUGUUUGCUCCAGCUGUGGAAUUCCUCAGACUGAAAAUAAGCUGGGUCUCAGAAAUAACUGUGUUUGAAAAUCAUCCCGAUUCUUCCCCUAUCUGAGUCAUGGAAUAAAGAUCUCUUGCCAAACGUGGUCCUUCACCUGGGCAACUCUCAGUGUCUCUUUGAUCCUCCCCCCUCUUCUCUACCCCCUUGCAUGUAACAGAUACACAGAGACAUGCACAGGCAUACUGCCUCUGCUCUGUCUCACCCAUACACACACGCACACACACACUUUACUUCUGGGCAGGUCAUUGAUAGGCAGAGAGCAGCAUCUACAAGCAGCCGCUAGUCCCCUCCCUUCAUGGUGGUGAGCCUGGUUGAGGAUAAACAUCAGGGCACUGGCAGAGAUUUCUUUUCGGGUUUGCAGGCAGAGAUUUUUUUGGGUUUGCAGGCAGUUCUCUGAUGACUGACUCUACUGUGUUUGGGCCUACACUUUCCCUUCUUGUCCAAUUGUGCAUCUUCAACCCUCUCUUAGAUCCAUUUGUUUUUCCUGCCGGGUAGGAUAAUACAUCUGAGUGUUCAUUAAACGACAAUGGCUGUUCAUUUUCAAAGUAAUUAGUUUCUGUUACAGGCAUAACUAAAAAAUCGAUGAGAUAAUUGCUGGUUGACAGUACGUAUACCCGAAGGUGAUUUAGUCUGGUUUAUCUUUAUUCUCAAGGACUAGUCAUUUAAAUAUGAAUGUCUUUAGAAUGUUUAAGACACCAUCAUGAUUCUUGACUAAAGCUCCAAAUAAAUGAUGUCCUGCCUGUGUUUACAAAGGCAGUAAAAAAUGAACUACAGGUGAUUACCUGGUUAAUUUAACCAAAUCAGGACGAAUUAUUUGAAAAUUAGUCUUUAUAUCAGUCCUUAAGAAGAUAGAUUUAAUUCCCCCCUCCUAAUGUGGAUUCUGAUUAUCUUUAUGAUUUUAAUUCAAGUUCUUCAUCACUCAAAGGUAAAUACACAGUACAC
ensembl:lncRNA